rnacentral:rRNA from 1 species
UGAUUAUAUUUUAUUUAUUAAUUUUUUUUUUGUUUAUAUAGAUUAUUAAAAAUAAUUAUAAAAAAGUAUGUUUAAGUAUUUUAUAAAGAAAAAAUAAUUUUAAUUAUAGUGUAAUAGUAUUGUGAAAGAAAAUUGAAAUAAUUUGAAAAAUUAAUAUUUUAAAAGAAAAUUUAAUUUAUUGUACCUUGUGUAUCAGGGUUUAUCUAAUAAAAAUUAAUUAUUUAAUUUUCUCGAUUUUAAAAGAGUUAAUAUAUUAUAAAAGUUAAUGUGAUAAAAUUAUUUUUAAUAAUAUAUUAGAAAUGAAAUGUUAUUCGUUUUUAAAGGUAUCUAGUUCUUUAAGAAAUAAAUUUAAUUUAGAAAUUUUAUAUUAUUUAAUUAAAUAUAUUAAUUAAAUAAUUAUUUAAUUUUAAUAUUUUAUGGGAUAAGCUAUAAAAUAAAUUUUUAAAAAUUAAUAAAUAAUUUAAUAAAUAUAAGCUUAGAAAUAGCUAUUAUUAAUAAAAUUGUUAUAAUUUAUUUUAUAAUAAAUAUUAUUUAUUAAAUUUUAAAUAUGUAUUAAAGUAUUUAUUUUAAUAAUAAAAAUAAAAUAAUAAUGAUAAAAUUAGUAUAUUAUUUUGUAUAAAUAUAAUAGAUUGAAAAGUUUUUAUAAAGAACUCGGCAAAAAUAAUGUUCGCCUGUUUAACAAAAACAUGUCUUUUUGAAUUUUUUUUAAAGUCUAACCUGCCCACUGAAUUAUUUUUAAAUGGCCGCAGUAUACUAACUGUGCAAAGGUAGCAUAAUCAUUAGUCUUUUAAUUGAAGGCUGGUAUGAAUGGUUGGACGAGAUAUUAACUGUUUCAUAAAAAUUUAUAAUAGAAUUUUAUUUUUUAGUCAAAAAGCUAAAAUAAAAUUAAAAGACGAGAAGACCCUAUAAAUCUUUAUAUAUAAAUUAUUAGAAUUUUGUAGAUUUUUUUUAUUAUAAUAAUUGAUUAUAUUUUAUUGGGGUGAUAUUAAAAUUUAAUAAACUUUUAAUUAUUAAAAUCAUUAAUUUAUGACUAAUUGAUCCGUUAAUAACGAUUAAAAAAAUAAGUUACUUUAGGGAUAACAGCGUAAUUUUUUUGGAGAGUUCAUAUCGAUAAAAAAGAUUGCGACCUCGAUGUUGGAUUAAGAUAUAAUUUUAGGUGUAGCCGCUUAAAUUUUAAGUCUGUUCGACUUUUAAAUUCUUACAUGAUCUGAGUUCAAACCGGCGUAAGCCAGGUUGGUUUCUAUCUUUAAUAAAGAAAAAUAUUUCAGUACGAAAGGACCUAAUAUUUGAUAAAUUAUUAUUUUUAUAUUGAAUAUAAUUAAUAUA